rnacentral:ncRNA from 20 species
UGCGAUGAGUCGAGAAAAUCACGCGACUUUCGGGUCGUCCGCGCAAGCGGCUAGGUGAAUUUUUCAACAGGGCACAUAUGUCACCGUAUUGUGACGUGUCUGAUCUUGAGGGAAUGUGGAUUCC